rnacentral:tRNA from 2 species
GGUCCCGUAGCUCAGCUGGAUAGAGCAGCUGCCUUCUAAGCAGUAGGUCGGGGGUUCGAGUCCUCCCGGGAUCGCCA